ACUGAUGGCGACCGGCACACGGGUGAGUAACACGUAUCCAACCUGCCUCAUACUCGGGGAUAGCCUUUCGAAAGAAAGAUUAAUAUCCGAUAGCAUAUAUUUCCCGCAUGGGUUUUAUAUUAAAGAAAUUCGGUAUGAGAUGGGGAUGCGUUCCAUUAGUUUGUUGGGGGGGUAACGGCCCACCAAGACUACGAUGGAUAGGGGUUCUGAGAGGAAGGUCCCCCACAUUGGAACUGAGACACGGUCCAA
rnacentral:rRNA from 1 species